UGGGGAAUAUUGCACAAUGGGCGAAAGCCUGAUGCAGCAACGCCGCGUGAGGGACGACGGCCUUCGGGUUGUAAACCUCUUUUAGCAAGGAAGAAGCGAAAGUGACGGUACUUGCAGAAAAAAGCGCCGGCUAACUACGUGCCAGCAGCCGCGGUAAUACGUAGGGCGCAAGCGUUAUCCGGAAUUAUUGGGCGUAAAGAGCUCGUAGGCGGUUUGUCGCGUCUGCUGUGAAAGCCCGAGGCUCAACCUCGGGCCUGCAGUGGGUACGGGCAGACUAGAGUGCGGUAGGGGAGAUUGGAACUCCUGGUGUAGCGGUGGAAUGCGCAGAUAUCAGGAAGAACACCGAUGGCGAAGGCAGAUCUCUGGGCCGUAACUGACGCUGAGGAGCGAAAGGGUGGGGAGCAAACAGGCUUAGAUACCCUGGUAGUCCACCGACUGUGAAACGAUGU
rnacentral:rRNA from 1 species